rnacentral:rRNA from 1 species
GUUAGGAAUAUUGGACAAUGGGCGAAAGCCUGAUCCAGUCAUGCCGCGUGAACGAUGAAGGCCUUCGGGUUGUAAAGUUCUUUAGCCGAUGAUUAUAAUGACUGUAGUCGGAAAAUAAGCCCCGGCUAACUUCGUGCCAGCAGCCGCGGUAAUACGAAGGGGGCGAGCGUUAUUCGGAAUCACUGGGCGUAAAGCGUGCGUAGGCGGUUUUGUAAGUUAGGAGUGAAAGCCCAGGGCUCAACCUUGGAAUUGCUCUUAAAACUGCAAGGCUCGAAUCUCGGAGAGGAUAGCGGAAUUUCCAGUGUAGCAGUGAAAUGCGUAGAUAUUGGAAGGAACACCAGUGGCGUAAGCGGCUAUCUGGACGAUUAUUGACGCUGAGGCACGAAAGCGUGGGGAUCAAACAGGAUUAGAAACCCCUGUAGUCC